GCCAUAUCAUGUUGAAACACCGGUUCCUAUAUGAUCACCAAAGUUAAGCAAUGUCAAGCCUGGUCAGUACCUUGAUGGAUGACCACUUGGGAAUAUCAUAUGCUGUAAG